AGGGAAUCAGAGGAAGACCAGUCCCUCAACGAAGCAGAGGAAGACCAGUCCGAAGAGAUAUAUAUGAGAAGGACUGCUGUAAGAAAUCUUGUCAGAGCAGUUAUCCAACAGAUUGUUGACAAGACAGGAAACAGCCAUUACCCUUUAUUUCAAUAUAAUUAUAUCUGUGAUCGACUCUUUAAGAAACUCUGGGUUGAAACAAAACCCAGAGUUCUGAAAAUGAGCCCAGAAAAGAUUGCACUCCAGGGGACCACCAUCUUUAAAGACCUGAUGAAGGAGUGCAAAAACGUAGAGUACAUCCUCCUUGUCCUGGAGGCAGGGACCCCAAUACUACAAAGAAAUGUCCUGGUAACGAUGGCAAACAGACUACAGCCGCAGUGGAACCCCUUUAAGUCAGUGAGAAAGGCUUUCAGGGAAGUGGUACAAAACCUGCGACAAAACCUACACAGGCUUAUCAUUUGUAAAUGAGUUACAGCGAAAUGUAAAGCCUGAAACUCAGGAAAAGGACUCAUCCCAGAUGUUUCUCCCAGUUCUCCCAGGUCCCAUCUCCUCUCCCUGCAUGAACAUCAUGGCGUAAACGUUUCCACCUGAGACUCUUUCCAGGUUCCAAGGUGAAGCCAAGGAGUGGCGCAUGCUGUGACUUUCUGCGGCUGCAGCUUAUCCUCUUCACCGUUUUAUUUGUUGGCCGUUCUGAGUUAGCACUUUACAUGAUCGCACCUGAUUGCAACAACCCAGAGAUGGCUGUCCAUGAGAACUCCUGCAGAUCAGCAGUUUCUGAAGCACCCAGACCAGCAUGACUGGCACCAACACAACAACGCAUUUGACGUCACUUAAAUUCCCAUCUCUUCCCGAUUCUGACGCUAGAGGUGAAAUCACUGUCAUCAUCUUAAUGCCUAAAUGUACAAGGAUGCUGCUAUUUAAUUACUGGAUUUGCAUAUGUCAUUGAACUGGUCUACCUAAUAAAGUGGCCAGUUAAUGUGUGCAUCUAUUUCAUCUGCACAAACCUGCACAAACGGAGCACUAACGAACUAGCGCACUUUGGUUUGUUUUGGAGCGAUAUGGGGGGAUGGUGACGUCAUCGGCCAAAAUUAUA